rnacentral:lncRNA from 1 species
GCAGAACUGCUCAUCUCCAGGGAAAGGCGACAUCCCGAGAGCCCUCCAGAGCAGAUCUGAGCUCUGCUGGGCGGGGAAGCGGAGACUGAUUCGCCGCGGUCGCGGGCCCAGCGGCUGGGAGGUCCCGCGCUGGCCGAGCAAAUGAGGAGGGCGCAGGGCACGGGGGCGGUGCGCGCCCAGGACAGUUUCCCGUCGGCUUCUCCCGGACUGUCCUACCACUUCCAUCUCGGAGCGGGAUGCUCGGAUCCCCGCAAGGCCUCCUGCGGACGUGGGAGAGUUGCUGAGACAGGUGAGAGUUGAUGAGGCUCAGCGUCUCCAGAUAAAAGAAGGGACAGAGCUGUCGGUGCGGUGAGGUUUGAAAAGUUGCGGCGGCCCCGGCAGCUGCAGGGGGCGAGCGCGGAGCAAAGCCCGGGCCGCACCAGACGGGCCCUGAGUCUCCAGGGCUCCUCGUCCCCAUGCGCCAGCGUGUCUGAUGCUUCACUGGACCCGGGUCUCUUUCUCAAUGUCAUCUCACAGCCUCUGUCCCUUGGGUAGGGAAUCAGGCUUCUGAGCUAUCAUCUGCUUAGUACCGUCGUCCUCUGCUUUGGAAAAUAUUUGAAUUGUGGUCUGAUAGAAGACAUGAAAAAGUUAGAAUACUACUAGAUUCCAAAGGGAAAAAAAAAGUUUCUUCGUUUACAAGUAGCAUCUACUGAUGGGAAUUUCUUAAUUGUUAUCAUUUAAGAAAAUACAGAACCAGGUUUGGAUCCAUGAAAACGAAUUGGUCUUCAGCCUUUCAAACACUGGCCAAAAAAAUUUGCAAAAGAAAAACACAGGCAUCAGGUAGCAGGCACAGUAUUAAAAAUUCAGACAGUUUUACUGUCGGAUCUUAAAAUAUAUUAGAAGUGUGUGACUUUCAUAAAGGACGAGAGAGAAUCAACUUCAUGCUAUUUCGAUAGGUAUUUUCUAGAUAUGCCAGAUAAUUUUGUCUUAUUAUCUCACAGAUUACUUGUUUCAGCCAUACACCAUGGGGAAAAAAAUGGCAAGGGGUUUGAAUGAUCGUUUCCAGAGCAGUUUUUCGUAGCUACAGUAGUACUUCCAUUUUACAAAUUCUCUGUGUUAGUCAUUCACUCAUAUAUUUCAUUCACCAAACAUUUAUUAAGGCUCUUCUAUGUGCUGUGUACAGUGCUAGACUUGGGAGAAGAGGGAUAAGUGGUGAGAGGGACAUACAAAAUUGAAUUAGAAAAAUUCACAGUUUAGGCAACUGGAAAUGCUAGGAAGCAGUUGUAAACCACUAUGAUACAUUCUUGUCGUGAGACGCCACCAGGGCAGCCCCUGCUAAUGGCCGGGAGAGGUACACUGACCACAGCUGAGUUUCGGGGUUCAUCUGCGUGGUGGCCUUUGCUCUUUCAAGGCAGCCACUAUUGGUUCCAUUUACAACAGGAGGAGACCAACACUAAAAGUGCAGUGAUGAGCCUCAUGUCUCACAGUUAGUCAGGCUCCUAAUCCAAAAGCCACUGCUAUGACCUGCGCUUCCGGACAUUCUGCCAUUUGAUCCCUACAACCUCACUACCUGAAGGACUAUAUUUUGAUCAUUCUUAAUGGGCCAGCUUCAAACCCCGUCAAGUUUUGAAGAGGGCAGAUGAAGCUGAUGACAGCUCCAGUUCCAGCUAUGGGUGACCUGUCUGUCUGCCUUUUUUGAGCUGUGGAGUGAUCAGAGUCAUAUUCGCUGCCUGUGCAGUACCACAGGCCUGAUGAAAAUGAAAUGGCAACACCACACAGAUGGCGAAGCGUAGGUCUCACAAGCGUCCUGGCCACGAAGCGUUGUCUUCAGCUUCGAUGUCUUAGCCUUGAGAGAGCAGCAGGGCCAUUCAGCAGUCAUUUAGCCACAGGAAUGUCCGUCACUGAAGGCUGUUUCUGCUGUUGUAUUCUGUCUCAGACCUAGAUGCCUGCAGUUUCCUCGGAUUGAAAACAUGGAGGGAUCUCCUGGUGCAGUGAGUCCAGCAUAUCCAGAGUGAAGCACAGUCACUGGUCAUUUUACACUACAUGGAAAAUCUCAACAAGUUUCAAAUUUUGAUAUUUUGGGUAUCUCUCCACUCUCCUCCGCAUCCAGUACAUCACCGCCAUGGGCUGAAUGUUUGUGUCCCGGCAAAUUUCUGUGUUGAAAUCUAAGCCCCAAGAUGAUGGUAUCAGAGAUGAGGGCUUUGGCAGGUGGUUAAGCCGUGAAGACAGAGGCCUGAUGAAAGGGGUUGGUGCCUUUAGAAAAGAGGCCUCAGAUAGCUGUCCCGUCCCUUCUACCAUGUGGGAAUGAAGAGAGACAGUAUCACCUGUGAACCAGAAGGUGGCGCUCACCAGACAUUGAAUCUGCUGAUGCAGUGUUCUCGGAUGUGAACCAGAAAAUCUGAGACGGGUCUUAGUUAAUUUGGAAAGUUUAUUUUGCCAAGGUUGAGGACGUGCUUGUGACACAGCCUCAGGAAAUCCUGAUGACAUGUGCCCAAGGUGGUCAGGGCACAGCUUGGUUUUAUACAUUUAGGGAGACAUGAGGCAUCAAUUAAUAUAUGUAAGAAACACUGGUUCGGUCUGGAAAGGCGGGAAAACUUGAAGCAAAGGCAGGAAGGCUGGAAGCAGGGAGGGAGCUUCCAGGCCACAGAUAGGUGAUACACAAAUGGUUACAUCCUUUUGAAUUUCUCAUUAGCCUUUCCAAAGGUGGCAAAUCAGAUAUGCAUCUAUCUCAGUGAGUAGAGGAAUGGCUUUGAAUAGAAUGGGAGGCAGGUUUGCCCUAAGCAGUUCCCGGCUUGAGUUUUCCUUAGUGAUUUUGGAGUCCCAAGAUAUUUUCCUUUCACAUGGACUUCCCAGCCUUUAGAACUGUCAGAGAUAAAUGUCUGUUGUUUAUAAGCCACCCAGUUUAUGGCAUUUUGUUAUAGCAGCCCAAACCAAAUAAGAAGACCGCCAGCCAGUUCUACCUAAACAGUCCCUCCAUGUGUCCACCAUCCUGAGUCCCCAUUACCACGCCUUGUCCAGACCCCAGCAUUUCUGUGACUUGAUGCAAUAUAAGUUUACUGCCUAAAUAACAGGUACAGGACUUUGUGUGGACAAAUGUGCUCUUUUCUCCUGGGGUAAUAUCUACGUACAAAUGACUGGGUCACGUGGUAGGUAUUUUUAACUUUUUAAAAAACUACCAAACUGUUUUCCAUAGUCUUUGCACCAUUUCACUUUCCCACCAGCAAUGAAUGAGUGUUCCAGUAACUCUGCAUUCUCAACAGCACUUGUUAUCAUCAGCACUUGUUAUCAUCACCUUAAAGAGUUUCAGCCAUUCUAAAGGUGUGUAGUGGUUUUCUCCCCACCUUUUAAUUUUCUUAAUAGUGCCCUUCAAAAAACAGAAGUUUUUAAUUUUGAUGAAAUCUAGUUUACCAAUUGUUUUCUUUUAUGGAUUGUGCUUUUUGUUGUUACAUGUAUGAAAUCUUUGCCUAACCCGAGAGUGCAAUAUUUUUUUUCCAUGUGUUCUUACAGAAGUCUUAUAUAUCUAUGUUUUACAUUUAGGUCUACGAUCAAUUUCAGUUAAUUUUCAUAUAGGGCCUAAGAUAUGGAUUCAGGUUCAUUUUCUGGCACAUGAACAUCCAUCUGUUCCAGCACCAUUUGGUGAAAAAAUGAUACUUUUCCAUUGAAUUACUUUUGCAUUUUUAUUGAAAAUAAGACAAAAUUCCAAAUACCAUAAUCCUGAAUGCUAAAAUCCCAAAAGAUCAAAGAUCCUAAAGUAUAAAUCCCUAAAGUCUAAAAUUCUGAAAAUCACAAUCACAGGAUAGGGUUUUUUUUCCUUUUCUUCUAUUUUUUUCACUAUUUUAAAUAGCAAAACAAUUCACUAUGCUAUAUAUUUCAUCGUUGCAUCAUUUCCAAAACUUGACGUAUAGGUUGUGCAGAGACGUUUAGAGAGUCCUAAUUUGUUUCAUGCAUUUUUUUGCAAAUGUGACUCCAUGAAAGUUCAUUAUCUCAAUGUUGAUUUUGUGUAUAAACAUUGUGUAUGUACAUGAAAACAUUGAAACCUCCUCAGUGAUGUCCUUUUUGUACACCUGCAUUUGUAAAAGACAACAUUUUUUGAGAUCUCAGCUCUUUGGGUGACUGCAUAUGUAGUGGUAAUCCAUUGUGGUUUUUGAUCAAUCUUGUCAAAAGACUUCGGUUUUUUAUCACAGUAUUUCAGAUGAGCACAUAUACAAAGCUGGUUGCACACAAUUACCAAUCAUAGUGAUAUGUGUUUACACAUUUUCCUUUUGACCUACUUCUUUAGGAAUACAGUUUAUCUGCUCAUAAAUGCUAUAUCUGUGCCAGGUAUAGUCGUAUACCUGAGUAUUUAUUCUUGCAAAAACAUGUACGCUAGUAUUGCUUCUUUUAUUGUGUAAAGCGGCCUAUGAAGUGUUCUGUUGUGUUUUUAUAUGUUUCUCAAAUAAAUCCCCCCCUCCCUUUUUUUUUGAGAUGCAGUCUCAUGUUGUUGCCAAGGCUGGAAUGUAGUGGUGUGAUUUGGGCUCACUGCAAACUCCGCCUCCCGGAUUCAAGCGAUUAUCCUGCCUCAGCCUCCCGAAUAGCUGGGAUUACAGGCAUGCACCACCAGGCCGGGCUAAUUUUUGUAUUUUUAGUAAAGAUGGAGUUUCACCAUGUUGGCCAGGCUGGUCUUGAACUCCUGACCUCAGGUGAUCCACCUGCCUCAGCCUCCCAAAGUGCUGGGAUUACAGGAGUGAGCCACUGUGCCCACACCCACUCCCCUUAAAAUGUAAGUAAAUAUCUUCAGGAAUUUUUAAAAUUAUUUUUUCCAGAAUUAUAUUUUCAGGAUUUUGGAUUUUAGGGAUUUUUGAUCUUUCAGAAUUUUAAGAGCUGGGAUUGUGUCUUUCAAGACUGCUUCUUCAGGGACUAUGACGGGCUUCCCUCUAGACAGCAUGGGCUAGGAAGCAUGUUCUGGAAUGUGACAUUUAAGCUGAGAACUGAAUUGUACAAAAAACCUAGCCACGCCAAUUACCCUAAGUGAAUUAAUGCAAAAAUAGAAAUCCAAAUACCACAUGUUUUCACUUAUAAGUGGGAGGCAAGCAUUGGGUGCACAGGGACAUAAAGAUGGGAAAAUAGACACUGGGGAUUCCAAAAGGCAGGAGGAAGGGAGAGGGUUGAAAACUUACCUAUUGGGCACUGUGUUCACUAUCUGGGUGAUGGGAUCAGUUGAAGCCCAAACCUCACUGUCAUGCAAUAAAUCCUUGUAACAAACCACUCACGUAGCUCCUGAAUCCAAAAGAAAAAAAAAACCAAAAAACAAUAUUAACUUUUACCCGAAAACCACCUAGCCACAGAAACCAGGGGGCAGUGGUGGAGAGGAGGCCCCAGGAGGAUUCUAGGUGAGGUGGCUGGACAUGCAGAAGCCCUGCUGGGGAAGGAAGAGGUUUUGUGUUUAGGAAGUGAAAGCCCAGGUAGCUGAGCUGUGGCGAGCCGGGAAGAAUGAAGGGAUGAGACAGCAGAGACACAGGCUUCGGUUCUGGGGGUCCUGCUGCUGCCCCACCUCCUCAAUGGUCCUCCUGGCCCCUCUCUGCUAAGCAGGAAGCAAUGGCAUCUUUUUUUUUUUUUCUUUUUUUGAGACGGAGUCUGGCUCUGUCGCCCAGGCUGGAAUGCAGUGGCGCAAUCUCGGCUCACUGCAAGCUCCGCCUCCUGGGUUCACACCAUUCUCCUGCCUCAGCCUCCCGAGUAGCUGGGACUACAGGCGCCCGCCACCACGCCCGGCUAAUUUUUUGUAUUUUUAGUAGAGACGGGGUUUCACCGUGUUGGCCAGGAUGGUCUCGAUCUCCUGACCUCGUGAUCCGCCUGCCUUGGCUUCCCAAAGUGCUGCGAUUACAGGCAUGAGCCACCGCGCCCGGCCACAAUGGCAUCUUUUACCCAUGAAGUUGUCGGCACAGUUGGGAAAUAGCAGGCAGUUCCAGCGGAGUUUCUCAAGGCUUGGAUUUGGCUAGGAAGUUAGGCGGUAGUGGGGACAGACUCAGAGGUUUUAGGAAUGACCACCCUGUUUCCAGUAUGUAGGAAAAUGACUUCUUGAGACAGAAAACUCUGAAAUUCUUUUUUUUUUUUUUUUUUCAGAUGGAGUUUCGCUCUUGUCACCCAGGCUGGAGUGCAAUGGUGUGAUCUCGGCUCACUGCAUCCUCCGUCUGCUGGGUUCAAGCGAUUCUCCUGCCUCAGCCUCUCAAGUAGCUGGAAUUACAGGUGCCCGCCACCAUGCCCAGCUAAUUUUUGUAUUUUUAGUAGAGACGGGGUUUCGCCACGUUGGCCAGGCUAGUCUCGAACUCCUGGCCUCAGGUGAUCCACCCACCUCAGCCUCCCAAAGUGCUGGGAUUACAGGCAUGAGCCACCACACCCGGCUGAAAUUCUUUUUGUUUUAUUUUUGUCAAACUUGGUGGCAGAGUGUGCAAAAGAACAGAAUGAGGUUUUGGAAAUGUUGGAUUUGUAGUAUUUUUGUGAUGUCCGGUUGAAGAUGUGAGGCAGCCAGUUACAAUUGUGGAUCUGCAGCCUGUGGGAGAGCCCUGGGUUAUUGGUGUGAAUUCAGGACUUGGUGGUGGGUUCCUUUCCUGUGGUUGCUGUAACAAAGGACCACAGCACAGCGGCUUGAGCAACAGAUGCCUUCUCCUUCAUGGCUCCGGAGGCAGAAAGCCUGCGGGCGAGGUGUCAUCAGGCUUCUCCUAGGGCUGUGAGGGGCCUGCUCCAGGCCUCCAUCCUCACUUCCGGCAGCCUUGGGCACUCCUGGGCUUCUAGGUGGCCACCUUCUCCCUGGGUCAUUAUGUCGUCUUCCUCUGUGUGGUUCUGCCUCUGCAUCCAAAUUUCCCUGCUCUGUAAGGACCCUGGAUUAUGCCCCACCCCAAUCACCUAAAGCUUACCUGCAUCCUCUGCAGAUACCUUUUUUCUAAAUGGGCCACAUGGAUAGGUACUGCGGGCUAGGACUUCAAUGUCUUUUGGGGGACACAAUUCUACCUCUAGCAGAUGGUGAUGCAGCUGUAAGCCUGGGUGACAUCACCUGGAGAGAGUUAGGGGUAAGAGCAGAAGAGGCCACGUGCCCAGCCUGGAAGAACUGUGUGAGUUCAUAAUAACAGUGGCCAAGGAGGGGAGAGAGGAGAGAGGCGAGGGGAGCAGGCAACAGGGAAACACAGAGGCGGCAGCCCAGAGCUCGGAGGAGGAGAGGCUGUGAAGGAGGGUGAGGUAUAGUCUCAAAUGCUGCUGAAAGGUUAAGUAUGUUGCAGUAAUUUGAAGGCUAAAACAUGCCAUUGGAUUUCAUAGUCAGGCAUCACCUGUGCCCUGUGCCUGAACUGCUGUGGUGUAGAUGAGCCUGGCUGAGGAAGCAGCCAGCCAGAGGGGAAGGAGUGGAGCCAGGCUCCGGGCCUGCUUAAGGGUUGGAAGAGGGUAGACCAGCUGCCAGAAGGCGCAUGGGCUCGGGCAGGGAGAGGCUUUUAAAAACGGGAGGGAUCUUAGAAGAAAGAGGAUCCAGUGGGUUGGAGAAAGUAAAGGGGUCAGCACGGCAGGUCCGGGAGUUGAAGGAGCAGCGGUGAGGGCUGACUGAGCAAGCGAUCUGCGAUCUGCUGGGAGAGGCUCCGGCGCUGAUCCCAUAGAUUCGCAGCGAUUUCGGAAGAUGAGUCCGGGGUGUGGCUGUGGGAAGGAUGGUCAGACAUAUUUUUCCUCUAUUGUAUUAAUGUCUUAUGUGAAGAUGGAGUAACCUCUUGGCUACCUAAUAUAUAUAUACAUAUAUAUAUAUAUAUAUAUCUAUCACAUCUUCUCACACAUUUAAUUGUAAAAAUGCUCCUACUUAAUCCUAAUCCAGCCACCUUCUGUGCAAUUCCAAAUGUGCUCACCUUCUCCCCAGUGGGUAACAAUCCAAAAUCACAUACAGGUUCUGUACUGUGAAGUGACACAAUUUAGCCCCUCUGAGUUCAGGUUUUCUAGGUAGUGUCAAUUCCUCCAUUAGCUUGGAUUUGAUCAGGUUUGUGACUUCUCACCAUUCUGCAGAUUAUGGCAUAAAUGAUAAAAGUAGCUUCUCCUGCCUACCCGAUACAGUGAAAUGGAAUAAAAAUCAAACCAAAAACGGGGAAAGAAGUGCCUACAUUGAUAACUGGUACAGAUUAUAUAAUAGCAUAUCUCGCUGAGCAAGCUUAGCAGGAUGAAUGAUAGAAACAAUGGGUCUCAUGAGCAUUCUCUUUGUUGCCUCACUUCUCUGGAUGUAGAAUAAAUUGUUGGAACCACCUUCAGAAAAGGCACCAAGGGAGGAUUUCCUACUGGUGCUUGUGGUGGUGAUGGCAGGCAGGUGUUUGAGGAGAUGCUAGUGAAUGGCUUUGAUCCUGGCACUUGUGGUGGUGAUGGCAGGCAGGUGUUUGAGGAGAUGCUAGUGAAUGGCUUUGAUCCUGGCACUUCAAUGUUGGGGCUUGGUUUAGGGUCUACCAUAAUGCUGGACGGUCACAGGUCUCUGUACAACAGGCUAGGGACUUUUUUUGACAGUACAACUUCCCUAAAACUGUAACUAAUUUCUUCACAGUUGUAUUUAGGAUCUUGUAUCCAAUGCCAGAAAUCUUGUCUUGUUCUCAAUUUGCUAAAGGAAUAGACAUGGUCCACACAACCUUUAGGCCUUUUGUUUGUUUGUUCUUUUUUCGCAUUUUGUCAAGAGGAUCUUUCUAUGACUCUAACUCAGCCACAUAGAGUUUGCCUCUGGAAUAGUUAGGAGUCUUUCUUUAAUCUUCCCUUGAGUGUCACCCUUGUCCUUUCAUUGCAUUUCAGACCAGCGCAUUUAGCAAUAGAAAAAGGCACCUUCAUUUUUGUUUGUAAGAUCCAGCAUGGUGGCGUGGACCUGUAGUCCCAGCUACUCGGGAGACUGAGGUGGAGAGGAUUGCUUGACCCCAAAGGGUAAAGGCUGUAGUAAGCCAUGAUCAUGCCACUGCACUCCAGAAUGGGCAACAGAGCUAGACCCUGUCUCAAAAAAAAAAUUAUUGCCAUAAUAUUUGUAACAUUCUUUCAUUACAU